rnacentral:rRNA from 1 species
AACGAACGCUGGCGGCGUGGAUAAGACAUGCAAGUCGAACGGGACAGACCGAGUAGCAAUAUUUGGAAUGUUCAGUGGCGAACGGGUGCGUAACACGUGGAUAACAUUCCGGAAAGCGGGGAAUAGCCCAGGGAAACUUGGAUUAAUACCGCAUGUGGCCGCAAGGCUAAAGACGGGGACCGCAAGGCCUGUCACUUUCCGAUUGGUCCGCGGCCUAUCAGCUAGUUGGCGGGGUAAUGGCCCACCAAGGCUACGACGGGUAGCUGGUCUUAGAAGACCACCAGCCACACAUGAACUGAGACACGGUCCAGACACCUACGGGUGGCAGCAGUCGAGAAUCUUUCACAAUGGGGGCAACCCUGAUGGAGCGACGCCGCGUGGAGGAUAAGGUCUUCGGAUUGUAAACUCCUGUCAUGCGAGAACAAGGUACUCAGGCUAAUAACCUGAUUGUUUGAUGGUACCGCAAGAGGAAGAGACGGCUAACUCUGUGCCAGCCGCCGCCGUAAAAC